AACAAUUAUAAGGUAACAAACAAAAGGUGUGACAUAAGCCAUAAAUAAGUUGAUAAACCCAAUAAAGAUUGUGAUGACAGUAAUUAAAAUCACAUAAAAGUUCAUGUCGUUGUUUUAUUAAAUAUUUUCAGAACAUUAAAUAAUUAUUUCCAUGUAUGCUUGAGUAUAUGCAGGGUAUAUCUUGAUAGUUCCCCCCUCAUAAUAAAUAAACAAAUAAACAUUUCUUGAAGUAUGCCCGACCCUUGCAUGCAUGAUUUCUUGGUAGUUUCAAAUAUUUUCAUAAAAUAUACUGAAUCAAACAUUUUCACGGACUAUUUUUAAAGGUUUGAUACCUUUUCAAAGUGGCUUAAAUUGGGCUUCAUGAUGUCAAGAAAUAUUAUGAUGACAAUUCAAUAAAUCUGAAUUUAUCUAUAGUUUAAUGAACAAUCUCUUAAACUAUAAAAUGAUUAUAUGUAAUUACAUAUAAAUAUUUCAAGAUCUCUUUCUUAAAUAUAGUGAUCAUUCGUGUCUUUUUGUCCCGUGACUCUGCAUGUCCUGUGACUCUCUGCCAACAUACGUUUAUCAUGUUUAGUAGCUAGGUCAAGAAUUUUAACCACCAUAGAAUAUAUUUUCCUGAAUUUAUAAGAUAUAUCUUACUAAUUAUGGAUCAGAAUUGAACAAUUUCAGUAAAAUCAUUGGCCAGAUCAUAGCCGAUGUUGGUCAGGUUUCACAACCGCAAGCUUUCAAGACGUUUUUUUUCUAUAUUUUUCUUAUAUGAUGUGCAAAAUGGUCUUAAUUGUCAUUAUUUCAAAUUUGAGAGGAAUAUUCUGACAAAUGUUAUGCAUAAUUAGCAUUUUUAUUUGGUCCUGUCAUUAAUUGUCGAGGAUUGUCCUGUUAUUGA
rnacentral:lncRNA from 1 species